CGUGACUUUCGGAUCUGUCAAGAAAAUUUUAGAAUUUUUGGAAUCCUUUCCGUCAAGAAAACUCGAACUCGGGAAGGCACGCUACAACCAAGUGAGUGAUGCCAUGGUUCGAGGCGGGAAUGCGUGCUGAAUCUUAAUGCCACAGAGGAGUGUCCCGGGGCGUCUAGGAGUCUGUGCAU